rnacentral:rRNA from 1 species
AUUGAACGCUGGCGGCAGGCCUAACACAUGCAAGUCGAACGCGUGGCGCACGGGUGAGUAAUGUCUGGGACACUCCCUGAUGGAGGGGGAUAACUACUGGACACGGUAUCUAAUACCGCAUACCAUCAGCAGUCCACAGAUGGGAGUAGCUUGUUGGGGGGGUAACGGCUCACAAAGGCGACGAUCCCUAGCUGGUCUGAGAGGAUGACCAGCCACACUGGAACGGAGACACGGUCCAGACUCCUACGGGAGGCAGCAGUGGGGAAUAUUGCACAAUGGGCGCAAGCCUGAUGCAGCCAUGCCGCGUGUAUGAAGAAGGCCUUCGGGUUGUAAAGUACUUUCAGCGGGGAGGCGUUACCCGCAGAAGAAGCACCGGCUAACUCCGUGCCAGCAGCCGCGGUAAUUC